UACGGAGGAGGCAAGCGAUAUCCGGAAUUAUUGGGCGUAAAGCGUCCGCAGGUGGCUAUUCAAGUCUGCGGUCAAAGACUGGGGCUUAACCCUGGAAAGGCCGUGGAAACUGAAGAGCUAGAGUGCAGUAGGGGUAGAGGGAAUUCCCGGUGUAGCGGUGAAAUGCGUAGAGCUCGGGAAGAACAUCGGUGGCGAAAGCGCUCUGCUGGACCGCAACUGACACUCAGGGACGAAAGCUAGGGGAGCGAAUGGG
rnacentral:rRNA from 1 species